GUGCACUGAGUGACUGUAUUCAUCCAUGCUGACCGAGAGCCCCCAUCCUGAGCAGCCUUGCAGUGCGAACGCCAGAAACGGAGAGGUAAAAGUACCCCGUGACCUUAAUUUGACUCCUCCAAGUUGAAGAGGUCACUUAUCCACUGAGAAGCCCACACCAGGUUGCUCCUGUGAGGUCCCUGGUCACAUCGAUACUGAAAUCCCUGACUCAGCAAGAGAGUAAACAACUGAGUGACUAGUAGGAAGUCGCAUUCUGACGUACACACAAAGCUCUUCGUCACUGGCUUUUGACUCAAGUUUGUGGUAGUCUCUGGGUUCCGUUGACAUGAACCCAGCCUCCGGAAGGAGGAAAACACGACCCUGCCUCCAGCGAGUACAAGGCCCAGGCUGCACUCUUAAAUUCUUUCACAAGAAUCUGAAUGGAAUUGAUCCAUCCCCAGUCACUCCAGGUGUGUCUGAGAAGCUGCGGCUUAACUCGCCCAUACAUUUGGCUCCUGUCUCAUUUUACAUCAGUAUGUGUGGCUUUUGAUUUAUAAGAAUUAACCUUGAACGAA
rnacentral:lncRNA from 1 species